rnacentral:lncRNA from 1 species
AGAAAUAUACUAGGAUGAUGUGAAAGAAAUACUCUGACUCAACAAUCUAAAUCAAUACACUUGAAUCACAGCAAUGAAAGGCUCAUCCACAUCCAAACGAUUUCAAAAGUUUCUCAAAUCAAAGAAGUACUUUGGUAAUCAUGAUUCACAUUUCAAGCUUACUUAGCCUAUGCUCAAUACAACAGAUAUGACUGAAAAAGCAUAGCAUGCUAACAAGGCAUGACUUGGUUAAAUCAACACAAACGACAAACCAAUACUUGACAUCUAACAAAUUCGUUUGGACAAAAGAGCUGAAGCAACACUAAUCAUUAGUAAGAACUAAACAAAAAGUCCAGAGUCCAGAAACAACCAAAUUAAACCUCUAUUGCGACAGUAUUAACAGUCCCAUGAUAAUAUACAGGGAUAAGAACUAAAUUUACUAAAACACAAUCAUCUAAACGAGAUACAUCUGAAACUCAAAUAAAUCAACAUCAUGCUUUAAGCCUUUUGUUUUUUAUUUCACUCUUCAAAUCCAUUUCACAAUCAAUAGAACUUAAGAGUGUGUACCUGGAAAUUGAAAUAGAAACAGAAAAGUGAGGGGUCAGUAGAAAUUUUGCUCAGAUUCAUCAACCAAAACUGAAAAUCCACUCAGAAGAAUCAAUAGAACAGUAGACCAAUCAGCAAAAACCAAACCAGCUAUUUUCAAUACCUAAGUUCAGUCCAUUUUACCCCAGAUAAAUCAAAAGUGGUUCAAAAAUUGAAAACUUCCAAGAAAAUCCAGAAGAAGUUCAAUGAAACACUAGUUUUUAAUGAACUUUCAGCCUGUUUUCUAUUUUUUGCAGAAAUUUUCCUUUUCUAGUCUCUAAAAUCUUUUCUAAAUUUCUGAAAUCUUUUCUAAAC